UACGGAGGGUGCGAGCGUUGUCCGGAAUCACUGGGCGUAAAGGGCGCGUAGGCGGUUGGGGUAGUCCGUGGUGAAAGCUCGUGGCUCAACUACGAGUCGGCCAUGGAUACUCCUCGACUUGAGCACUGUAGAGGCAGGUGGAAUUCCGGGUGUAGCGGUGGAAUGCGUAGAGAUCCGGAAGAACACCGGUGGCGAAGGCGGCCUGCUGGGCAGUAGCUGACGCUGAGGAGCGAAAGUGUGGGGAGCGAACAGG
rnacentral:rRNA from 1 species